rnacentral:lncRNA from 1 species
GCUCUAGAUAAUAAAAAUAUUGGAUGUCUAAAGGUUAGAGGUAUAAGCAAAGACAUUCAAAAUAAGAAUAUUGCAAAUCUAUGACACUUUUAGACUGUAAUAAAUAAAGAACAAUAGGUUUUGUCUCUAAAUAUCUAAAAUCUUCUCUCUCUCCUCUCUCAUCAUCAUACAUGAGUGUGCUCCCUUUCCCACUCUUGACCAUUCUACAUAUUUCUCUCUCUCCCACUGACCAUAUACAAUUAUGAAAUUUCAGUCAUAUACUUUAAUUGACAAGGAUAUUAGUCUCUGACAUGUUCAUUGUUUUACUAUGCUGCUGGCUGUUACUAUGUUAAUAUUGACAUGUUCAUUGUUUUACUAUGCUGUUAAUAUGUUAAACUUUUUUCUAUGUCUAUCAGUUGACUAAGU